GGUGAAAAGCACCCCGGAAGGGGAGUGAAAUAGAACCUGAAACCGUGUGCUUACAAGUAGUCAGAGCCCGUUAAUGGGUGAUGGCGUGCCUUUUGUAGAAUGAACCGGCGAGUUACGAUUUGAUGCAAGGUUAAGCAGUAAAUGUGGAGCCGUAGCGAAAGCGAGUCUGAAUAGGGCGUUUAGUAUUUGGUCGUAGACCCGAAACCAGGUGAUCUACCCUUGGUCAGGUUGAAGUUCAGGUAACACUGAAUGGAGGACCGAACCGACUUACGUUGAAAAGUGAGCGGAUGAACUGAGGGUAGCGGAGAAAUUCCAAUCGAACCUGGAGAUAGCUGGUUCUCUCCGAAAUAGCUUUAGGGCUAGCCUCAAGUGAUGAUUAUUGGAGGUAGAGCACUGUUUGGACGAGGGGCCCCUCUCGGGUUACCGAAUUCAGACAAACUCCGAAUGCCAAUUAAUUUAACUUGGGAGUCAGAACAUGGGUGAUAAGGUCCGUGUUCGAAAGGGAAACAGCCCAGA
rnacentral:rRNA from 1 species